UGAAAUCCUCGGCUGCUCUUAUUUUGGCCCUCACCCUAUAUUGUAGGGAUUCUGGGCAUGUUCUGCAAGGCAUUUGGCUGAUAAACGUCAAUUUAUCCGAUUAUAGUGUUCCAUUUCGAGCUCGAUUGGUGUUAAUCGAGGUGGAUUACACAGGAAAAAAUUUAAGAUUCCAAGUUGGAAUAACAUUGGUAAAUAUGUCGUAUGAUAAUCCGACGUUGGCAUAUUAUUGGUUAUUUUUAAGGCUACCAAUAUUAUACCAAUGAUGUACCAAAAAAUGUAAAUUUAGAUAUGCCAACAUAGGUACUUUAUUGGAUAAUAAUAAAUUAUUAUUGGUAAACCUAACAACACCCAUACCAAUAAUGGAAGAUUAUUGGAAUUCCUGAACACCUUUACCAAUAAGAUACCAAUGGUAUACCAAUUUCAAUCAACAUUUAACUGUAACAUCUGCCAAUAUUGGUAUUUCAGUGGAUAAUGAUUGGGAGUUCUAUCAAGAUACAUACCAAUAAUGGAAGAUUAUUGGAAUUCCCGAACACAUUUACCGAUAAGAUAACAAUGGUACACCAGUUUAGGUGAACAUUUCACUAUAAGAUCUGCCAAUAUUGGCAUUUCAUUGGAUAAUGAUUGGGAGUUCAAGCAAGAUACAUACCAAUAAUGGAAGAUUAUUGGAAUUCCUAAACACAUAUACCAUGAGGUACCAAUGGUAUACCAUUAUUGAAUUCAAUGGUAGACACAUGUAGCGAAUUGGAAGCAGGUAAUGAUGGCCUGGACAUGUGGAAGACGAAAUAUGUUAAAUGCUGGACUGUGGAGGACAUGAAGAACUGGCUCACUUUCCAGGGAUUUAAAGAGGUAGCAGCCCUUUUUUCAAGUAAGCUAAAACUAGCUGCGGUAUUUAAGCUUACUAAGCUGAAGCUUAAGUCUUAAUAAGCUUACAUGUACAAGUAACUUCACAAUUUCCUGGAACUACAUAUUCCUAAGAAUAAAUAAGUAAAUAAAUAAGUAAGUCUUUUUGUCAUAGCCUGUGAGCUCGCAGGCCAAUAAGUCAAUAUUUAAUUUGUGACCAUCUGUUGCUAAUUUGGCUUUUCCUAAGUUGUACUUAUGGAGACAAUUUUUUGAACAGAUAUUCUGGCAGUGUUCAUCACCAUUUUUUCUGGAUUGUUUGGGAAGCUAACUUGGUUUACAAUGUUUUUCAAAUAAUUUUUUAACUACCCAUACAAAUUGUAAGAAUCACAAGCACUUUACUACCAACAUUUGAGGGUAGCCUGGAGUCACAUUUUACCUUUUGCAGCAGGGGUACUAAAGCAUUUGAGAGUAAUGCAUGGAUGCUUUCUAAAUGCUGCAUGUAACAUUCUACAGCCACAUAGCUAGAAUUUCUUCACAAACAAUUUUCCUUUUGCCCUUCAAUUCAUGACUUUUCCAAAAAAUGGUUAACAAAAACUGCUCCAAGGUUUGCUAAGGUUUCUACACGUUCAUUAUUGUUGUUGAUUUCAAAUAAUUGCUUUUCUCCACUGAAAACAGGCUGAACACACACCUGAAAAGAGGGCCAAAAAGUCCUGCUCUGGAUCUAGGGCUGAGUCAACAUGUAAUACAGCAGAGUAAGAUGAACUAGAUUUUGGCCCUGCUGACAAAGUAAGCAGCUGCAAAGCAAGUUCGAGCCUGGAUGAUAUCACCACAAAAAGUGCUGCUAUUGUAGUUCUAACUUUUCUUGAAGUUAAAUCAAUGCAAGAUGUUACAGUUGUAAAGCAUCUUUAUCCUCUAGCCAAGAAAUUAACUGUCAAAUAUCGUUCAUUGGGAAAAUAUCAAUUAUCCUUGAAGAUAGCAAAAGCACUUAUCAGUCAAGGCUACAUUGAGGUCAGAAGUCCUGUGGAAGGUGUUGAGGUUAACUUCUUGAAUCUUAAGAGAGAUAUUGUGUGCAAAAAGAAGGAUCAACUUAAGAGUAAUUAUCCAGACCUAGAGGAGUAUGAUGAUAAUGGAGACACAGACUCAAUAACCACUGACUCUUCUUUUCCAACCUAUUCUAGUGGUUUUGAAGUCCCUUAUACUUCUUAAUGUGGAGACCAUAAAUGCCUUGUUCCAGUUAAAUUGACAAAUGUCUUGUUUUCAAAAUUCAAUGGUGUGUUAAAAGCAAGGAAGAUAGCCCAGUUAUCUUGCUGAAGGGGAAGUAAUAUUGUAUUUGGUUUAAAUCAGUUGGUAAGAGAGGUCCUCCUUAAAGGGCUUAAAAUUUGAAGCUUAUAGACUUGGAAGAUGUGUUUUUUUGAAGCACAUUUUGUUUAAAUGUGUGCAUUUUACUUACAAUGCAUGUUAUUAGUUACCAACAUAUUUCCAAAAUGUUGGAAUUGUUUAUUUUAAUGUAUAAGUGCCACACUGCUAUACAUAUGCAUGUAACUCAUUUUUAUCACAGAUUUUAAAGAAAUGGUUUCCACAAAUAUCAAGGAUAUUUCUCUUUGUUGGAAACUAAACCUUGCUUCCCAUCUUACUAACUAGUAAUUUUCCAUUGUUGGUACAUAAUAAAAGAUUACUUUUACCAA
rnacentral:lncRNA from 1 species